CCCGAGCGGAGUGUCAAGUUGAAAUCUGGCCCUGAGGAUUUGUGGUGGCUCAGGGCAAAAGUCAAAACAAACACAAACACAUUCCCCAGUGCCGACGUCGACAUGGCCCCGAAGAGGAGACGGCAAAGCAGAGUUAAUGAGCAAGGGGGAUUUGGUUUGGAUGUGCCGAGGGGACACGGAGGACAGCCAGGAAAGCAAUAGGGAGAAACGAGAAACUCAAUAGAGACUAAAAUUCCAUAUAGGAGAUGUUGGUGAAAUGCUACUUCUCCACACCAUUCCAGUCGAAGUUAUGAGUGAAGCUUAACUGUUGCCAUUGCAUGUGUGACAAAGGGGAUGAGUUGUUUGUCCAUGGGACUCAGUCAACCAGUGCAGAACCAGAAAGUUACCCACAAUGACAUCAAGACAUCGUUCACCUCUUCCAGCUGAGGAGUCUCUUGUUCUCAUCACUAAUCAUGGUGGACUGUUUCCCGUGUUAUCCGAGGGACAGACCAUUGCCUGCUCCAUCCCUGAUGACAAAGGGGCACAGAUCUCCUGGCCACGUCUUUGCUCCGGACAAGUGAAGUCAAUGGGAUUGCAUCCUGCCUCUGAUCAGCUCCAAAGGGUGACAGAUCAGAGGGAGCUCCCAUCUCCUUGCACUGUCCUCAUCUGUCUCCUAUGCUCCUGCCUGGUCUUGCUCCAUCAAGACUUGCCUCCUCAGUUAGUGACUUUUGUUGCCACUUCUGCACUGUUCUGCUGAUGUGAAUGGCACCUGAAUUUCACUGUGUUUGUCCUACUCCUCCUACUCAAACCUUCCUGUUAUGCAGCCAGUGAGACAAGAGCUGAGGGGUACUUUGCAGCAGGAGGGCUUAGUGCAUGGCUCUAAGCAUGUAACCUUGGAUGCUUUCAAGAAUACGAUGAGCUCCUGAAAACUGUCUUUUUUUCAAAAUAAUAUGGGAGGCAAUAGGGUUAGCUCUAUGGAGAGCUCUGAACGUGGAGUUUAUUUGCAUUCAAAACUCACAGUGUGGUUUACUCCAAGUACACUCAUAAGAUUUCUGAAAGCAAAAGAGAAGGGAUGGAGGUGUUUUUCCAUCUUAGUUGGAAGGGGAAUAUGCCACAUAUGACCUGCACAUCAGUAUUUUGCUGAUCUGCCAAUGUACGUAUCACCCAUGCAGACCAAAUCAUCCAGAAACGGACCUGGGGAUGCCCAUUGCCUGCAGGCAGGAAUUAAUCUCAGGUGGUCUCUUCAUCUCAGUAAGACGUUGCCUGUGUGCUGUGAUGCUGAAAGCAAUGGGGACAAGUUUGACUUUAAUUUUCCAAGUUGCCAUAAGCACCAGAGCCCACAUCAGUGAGUGGUACGUGGGUGGGGAGUAUGGGUAGAUUCGGUGACCAAUCUGACCCCUCUGUGGUGUGUUCCAUCUCCAGAGCAGGAGACGGUGGCUGUGAGCAGAGCUAUUAUCACUUGCUCCUAAUUUAUAGCUAAGGGCAGAUCCCUAAAUUCCUAAAAGCAAGGGGUUAAGAUGAUUUAUUCUCUGGAAACACUCAC
ensembl:lncRNA